GGGUGUAGCCUGGCUCCACCUCUCCUAGACCCAUUUAAGAGCUGACUACCACUGAGGAAGGAUCUCUUCUGGAGGUCCCUUCUUUGGAGUUUUGCAGGGAGUCUAGGAUGUAGCGCCUUGACUGCCAGAGCCUUCUGAUGGAAAGAGCAGCAUUUGAAUUCCCUUCCUGUCUGUGGUGAAAGCUGUGAUGAAGGGGGAUGGAUCCUCCUCCACUGAAGAAAUGUCGCCUGCAGGAGAGCAGCAGCAAGCCAGAGCCCACAGAGAUUGAUUCUAGGGAGAGCAACGGCAACGUGGAGCUGAUGGAGGUGGAUCCAUCUCCAUCACAGCUGGGUGUCCACUAUAAGAUCAUGCUUGCCCAUUGACGUUGCCACAUCUGCGAAUGGUGCUCCAGGGGCUCUUGCUUUUCAUCUGGGUGUUGAGGAGUCACCAUCUACCCAAGAGCCCCCGCUGCUGCUCCCUGCCCCUCUUCCUACCCUUCCACCUCUUCUUCCCCAAGCUCUGAGGAAAAGGGAAGGACUGGUACCAGCACCGCAUCCCGAGCUGCUGCACCAGGACAACAGGAACGACCUCCCUGUGGCCUCAGAGCGAGCCCUGAGGAAGAGGGCCAGGCCAGGACUGCCAGCAGCUGGAGGAUGGCGAAGGGCCCUAUGUUCCCUGCAAGGCAAUAGUCGCAAAGGAAGGUUUGGCAGGCUCUGCUUGGAUAUUAGGAAAAGCGUUUUACUGGGAAUUUGACAUGGCGUAGUAAUCUGUUACUUGGAUGUAGUGAAAUCUCUAUCUUUGGUGGAUUUCAUGACAUGAUCAGGAAAAAGCCACUGCUGUCCUGAUUGAUUGUUGGCAGUGGGUCCAUGUAAAGCAGGAGGCUGGGCUAGAUGAUGUACAGAGAUCCCUUCCAAUCAUCUUAACCACUGUUCUAUGUCUGUCAUUCAUGUUUCUGGUCAAAUUCAAGGCAAAGAACUCUUCAGUGCUAUAAAUGUAAAGCUUUGCAAAGCCAAUUAAGUUUGGUUGAAGUGUUUACAGCAGGUGUAUCAUAGCAGUACUUUAAGGACCUUCCUUGAUACUGUUUUUAAGAUAAUUAUACACAAAACACAUUAGACUCUUGGGCUAUUUGAAAAACAUGCAUUUGUUAAGUGAUGAAAACAAACAAA